rnacentral:lncRNA from 10 species
AGGGGCAGGUACCUGACACCUUGGUGUUCAUCAAGGGGCUGCCAGACACACCCAGCUACCUCUUCCCAAGGCAGUGGGCAGGUGUGAAGCCUGCCGGGCUGAGCUGCCUGCUCUGCCACCUCCGGGGUGGGUACCCUCCGCCCGCCCGACUGUCUCCACCAAGACAUCUCAAUCCAAAACCCCUGCCAACCGGGUGGAGCUGCCAACCGUCAUAAAACCUGCUUAAAGAGGUGCUCCUGCCCCUCCCCUCCCCCUCCCCCUCCCCCUUUCCAGCCUCUUUCUCUUCCCCCUCCCCCUUCCCUCAGGUCUCCAGACAGGCCUGGGGAGGGUGGGAUAGCCGUGAGCCCCUGACAAAGCUCCUGCCUUUCUCUGAGCAGGGGCGGCCUGGCCCCCUGCCCCGCGGCUGUGACACGCUGCCCC